GUUUAGCCCUGAUUGUAGCGGCAUCCUUUUUUAUUUUUCUUAAAAAAGAUAUAGCGAAAAGCAGGAAAUAGC
rnacentral:sRNA from 1 species